rnacentral:rRNA from 1 species
GUAACGGCGAGUGAAGCGGUAACAGCUCAAAUUUGAAAUCUGGCCUCACGGUCCGAGUUGUAAUUUGUAGAGGAUGUUUCGAGCAUGGUCUGGCCUAAGUUCCUUGGAACAGGACGUCAUAGAGGGUGAGAAUCCCGUAUGCGGUCAGGUGCCUACGCUCAUGUGAAACUCCUUCGACGAGUCGAGUUGUUUGGGAAUGCAGCUCAAAAUGGGUGGUAAAUUUCAUCUAAAGCUAAAUAUUGGCCAGAGACCGAUAGCGCACAAGUAGAGUGAUCGAAAGAUGAAAAGCACUUUGGAAAGAGAGUUAAACAGUACGUGAAAUUGUUGAAAGGGAAGCGCUUGCAACCAGACUUGCGCGCGGCUGAUCAUCCGGUGUUCUCACUGGUGCACUCGGUCGCGCUCAGGCCAGCAUCGGUUUUGGUGGUUGGAUAAAGGCCUUAGGAAUGUAGCUCCUCUCGGGGAGUGUUAUAGCCUAGGGUGCAAUGCAGCCUACCGGGACCGAGGACCGCGCUUCGGCU